GCGGGAUUAGUUAAGCGGCCUAAUGUCUGCUUUCCAAGCAGAAGAAACGGGUUCGACUCCCGUAUCCCGCU
rnacentral:tRNA from 1 species